rnacentral:rRNA from 1 species
UACAGAGGUCUCAAGCGUUGUUCGGAUUUACUGGGCGUAAAGCGCACGUAGGCGGAUUGUUAAGUCAGGGGUGAAAUCCUGGAGCUCAACUCCAGAACUGCCUUUGAUACUGGCAAUCUAGAGUCCGGAAGAGGUGAGUGGAACUCCUAGUGUAGAGGUGGAAUUCGUAGAUAUUAGGAAGAACACCAGUGGCGAAGGCGGCUCACUGGUCCGGUACUGACGCUGAGGUGCGAAAGCGUGGGGAGCAAACAGG